rnacentral:lncRNA from 1 species
UAACCCUAUCAAGUCUACACUCAGUUUCUUAUUUGCUAUCUCCACGACACAAGCCCUGUAGAUAACUUCCCCUAAUAGUGUUUCACCCCCAGUAGUAGACAUAAACAACAAUGAAUCAAGUUUAUCAGGUGAUACAUUAAGUUUGGAAGCAAAAACAUGUGAAACAAAUGAAUGCGAUGCACCAGUGUCAAAUAAAACAUGAGCAAUAUGGUCACAGAUAGUGUACAUACCAUGUACCACAUCCGGGUCGGUGUCGGCAUCCUGCUGGGUAAGGUUAUAAACCAUGCCCUUAAAAGGAGGUCUUCCUUGGUUCUGGUUCCUCGGGCACUCUCUAGCAUAGUGCUGGACACUACCACAUAUGCGACAGGUAUUGUUGAGGCGGUAGCAUGGUCGGUCCCCGUGAUCCCUGCCACAGUGCUGGCAGAUCUUUCCACGUGCUGCCCUUGGAGCCUCAGGAGGGGCCUGGAUCACUGGUCCGGGCCUCUUAUUUGGUUGGACCGGUGCAGUAGGUGC